GGUGCACAGCGCUGUAGGACUUAUACAAUGCCCCUGGGAGUCUAAAUACAUUUCAAAUGAAAAGUAAAAAGAAAUCAAUUGGAAAGCAGUUUCACACAAUGCUAUGCUUCGACGUUGGCGACAGACAACCUAAACACUUGC
rnacentral:lncRNA from 1 species